rnacentral:rRNA from 1 species
UGCGUAGGCGGCGCGGAAAGUUGGGUGUGAAAGCCCUCGGCUCAACCGAGGAAUGUCGCUCAAAACUUCCGUGCUCGAGGGAGGUAGAGGUGAGCGGAACUUAGGGUGGAGCGGUGAAAUGCGUUGAUAUCCUAAGGAACACCGGUGGCGAAAGCGGCUCACUGGACCUCUUCUGACGCUGAGGCACGAAAGCUAGGGGAGCAAAACGG